rnacentral:rRNA from 1 species
GUCGAGGGGCAGCGGGGUUGUAGCAAUACAACUGCCGGCGACCGGCGCACGGGUGAGUAACACGUAUGUAACCUGCCCUCUGCAGGGGGAUAAGCGGAAGAAAUUCCGUCUAAUACCGCAUAAUACAAUUUGGAGACAUCUCCGGGUUGUCAAAGGAGUGAUCCGGCAGAGGAUGGACAUGCGGCGCAUUAGCUAGUCGGCGGGGUAACGGCCCACCGAGGCUACGAUGCGUAGGGGUUCUGAGAGGAAGGUCCCCCACACUGGUACUGAGACACGGACCAGACUCCUACGGGAGGCAGCAGUGAGGAAUAUUGGUCAAUGGGCGGAAGCCUGAACCAGCCAAGUCGCGUGAGGGAAGACGGUCCUAUGGAUUGUAAACCUCUUUUGCAGGGGAGCAAGGCGCGGUACGUGUACCGCGAAGGAGAGUACCCUGAGAAAAAGCAUCGGCUAACUCCGUGCCAGCAGCCGCGGUAAUACGGAGGAUGCGAGCGUUAUCCGGAUUUAUUGGGUUUAAAGGGUGCGCAGGCGGACUGUUAAGUCAGCGGUAAAAUGUCGGUGCUCAACACCGGCCGGCCGUUGAAACUGGCAGCCUUGAGUGAGCGAGAAGUAUGCGGAAUGCGUGGUGUAGCGGUGAAAUGCAUAGAUAUCACGCAGAACUCCGAUUGCGAAGGCAGCAUACCGGCGCGCAACUGACGCUCAUGCACGAAAGCGUGGGUAUCGAACAGGAUUAGAUACCCUGGUAGUCCACGCAGUAAACGAUGAACACUAACUGUUCGGCCAGAAUGAUGGCUGAGU